AUAAAGACUUUGACUAGGACUAGUAAACAAUUGAUUCCCCAAGAGAGUGCAUGGUCGGUGAAAAUGCAUGGAUGACAUUUUUGAACUCACCUCAGUAGUCGCUAUACUGAAUUAAAAGUAAGUAAAGCCGUGUCGCUACGUUAUAGGCAUGAUAAGUUUAAAUAUAGGUGGUACCACGAAAUGUUCGUCCUAUAG
rnacentral:ncRNA from 1 species